AUUUUUUUAUUAUUCACAACGUUUGUGAAGUCUAAAUGUAUACUGUCUCAAACUGAAUGAGUGUUAUUUUUGUUGUAGGUGUGUUGGUGUAAAAAUUGAUGCUGACUGAACUCAGGCAGUUGUGCUGGACCUUCUGUACUUUAUACAGGAGAUGACAGUAAACUUUCAAGUUUAAGAGGUGUGUUGGUGUAAAAAUUGAUGCUGACUGAACUCAGGCAGUUGUGCUGGACCUUCUGUACCUUAAACAGGAGAUGACGGUAAACUUUAAAGUUUAAGAGGUUCUGUCAUUUUGGUUAUAAGUACAAGAACUCAGGCAGUUGUGCUGGACCAUCUGUACUUCAUACAGGGGAUGACAAACUUACAAGUUUAAGAGCCACCUGAUGAUGAAAAAGACAUUUUCAAUGUGGGCAUCUUGAUGAAGAAGAGUCCACAGUCACAAUAACAAGAUCAUUGAGCUGUCCCCUAAUUGUGGUCAGCUACAUGUUUAGUCUCUUAUGUGCUAUAAACAUUAUGUAGCCUAAGGAAGCAGCCCUGACUCUGUAGUUUAUAUAAAGGUAUGUUUUUACAUUUUUAAGUUUAUUUCAUUUUUACAAGACAAGUAAGGUGAUGCAUGUUUGUUGUAUUUACAACAGGAGCAUGCUGAGUAACUAUCCAGAACGUAGGUCCAAAGCAGAAAAAAGGGCACCAAGCAGAAACAUACCAUCUAAACUCCUUCGAUUCCUGUCAGAUCAGAAAGACUUUCAGAAUCCUUGGAAGAUUUAAAGCCAUUGAAGUAUCAGUAUUGGAGAGGAAGAAGACCCAGUUGUAUCGUCUGUUUCCUGCCAUUUUGCAGUUAACCUGGUUUCCUAAUGUAAAGUACUUGUAAUUUGCCCACUUGUCCUCAAUUAUCUUAAAGCUAACAUUUAAAACUAAUUUGCUAUGAGAUUAUUUGCCAAGACUUCUCACUGUGUGAUUCACAUGUCAAUAUGUAUUAUUGUGUGUAUAACUAGAUAUUUGGAAUUCAAAUGAUUUGUAUUCAUUAAAAAAUCUGUUUUAAUUGCAAAGUUGUUUUUGUACUAAUCAUUGUAAGUUCAUAGAUAACAAACUAUUUACUGCUUCUCUACACAUACAGUAUCGAAUAAAUGUUUUGUUUUACUAUUGUAAACCAUUAAUAGUGUAUUUCCCAUAUGUAUAUGUUUGUCCUUACCAAUUGCCAUUUCUAUGCUGCUUGAAGAGCAUAAAAUUAGUAAAAUAAUUAUUUUUUACAGUAGGUAUACUAUUAAAAC